rnacentral:rRNA from 1 species
GACGAACGCUGGCGGCGUGCUUAACACAUGCGAGUCGAACGGAAAGGCCCUGCUUUUGUGGGGUGCUCGAGUGGCGAACGGGUGAGUAACACGUGAGUAACCUGCCCUUGACUUUGGGAUAACUUCAGGAAACUGGGGCUAAUACCGGAUAGGAGCUCCUGCUGCAUGGUGGGGGUUGGAAAGUUUCGGCGGUUGGGGAUGGACUCGCGGCUUAUCAGCUUGUUGGUGGGGUAGUGGCUUACCAAGGCUUUGACGGGUAGCCGGCCUGGGAGGGUGACCGGCAACAUUGGGACUGAGAUACGGCCCAGACUCCUACGGGAGGCAGCAGGGGGGAAUAUGGCACAAGGGGCGGAAGCCUGAGGCAGCAACGCCGCGUGCGGGAUGACGGCCUUCGGGUUGUAAACCGCUUUCGCCGGUGACGAAGCGUGAGUGAUGGUAAUGGGUAAAGAAGCACCGGCUAACUACGUG